rnacentral:rRNA from 1 species
UACCGAUAACGGGGGACAACAUCCGGAAACGGUGCUAAUACCGCAUAGGAAAGUUUGUUCGCAUGAACAAACUUAGAAAAGAUGGCUCUGCUAUCACUUAUCGAUGGCCUUGCGGUGCAUUAACUAGUUGGCGAGGUAACGGCUCACCAAGGUGAUGAUGCAUAGCCGACCUGAGAGGGUAAUCGGCCACAUUGGGACUGAGACACGGCCCAAACUCCUACGGGAGGCAGCAGCC